GCGUCGGUGGUGUACGGUACACACGCCGUGCCUGUAGAAUGUCUGCAAAUGAUAAGAGUUCAACGGCGAGUCUGGGGUUCGACUCCCCGCCGGCGCA